UACGUAGGGACCAAGCGUUGUUCGGAUUUACGGGGAGUAAAGGGCGCGUAGGCGGUGCGGUAAGUCACUUGUGAAAUCUCUGAGCUUAACUCAGAACGGCCAAGUGAUACUGCAGUACUAGAGUGCAGAAGGGGCAAUCAGAAUUCUUGGUGUAGCGGUGAAAUGCGUAGAUAUCAAGAGGAAUACCUGAGGUGAAGACGGGUUGCUAGGCUGACACUGACGCUGAGGCGCGAAAGCGUGGGGAGCAAACAGG
rnacentral:rRNA from 1 species